AAAAAAGUUCUUCAAAAUGAAGCUUAGGGACAAAAGGCGCCCCGCCACAUUUGGAUUUGUACACAAGCUAGUCCAACUAGCAGGAACAGAGGGAAUUCAGAAGAUGUGGAUGGAUUUCAGUCUUUUACAGAUGAAUAGGAAGCCUUUGAC